rnacentral:rRNA from 1 species
CAGUCGCCGCGGUAAUACGGAGGGAGCUAGCGUUAUUCGGAAUUACUGGGCGUAAAGCGCACGCAGGCGCCUUUGUAAGUAAGAGGUGAAAGCCCGGAGCUCAACUCCGGAACUGCCUUUUAGACUGCACCGCUUGAAUCCAGGAGAGGUGAGUAGAAUUCCGAGUGUAGAGGUGAAAUUCGUAGAUAUUCGGAAGAACACCAGUGGCGAAGGCGGCUGACUGGACAUGUAUUGACGCUGAGGUGCGAAAGCGUGGGGAGCAAACAGGAUUAGAUACCCGCGUAGUCCCUGUCUCUUAUAC